CACUGUCUGCCUGUUUAACUCUUUAACUUAGAAGUGGAUUUUAUCUAAUGCCUGAUCUGGCCAAUUUCCCCGUAACCUGCACGUGCUGUUCUUCCUGUAGUCACUGUUGACAUCAACAUUCUCUGGUUGCUGUGGUGAUAAAGGGGGCAUUGAAAAUCCUUUUCAGAGGAAAAGUCACUUUCUGUGUGGGGUCCAGCCUGAGGAUGCUUUCCACCCUCAGCCCAUGUGAUGAGACUUCCUGUGUACCAUCAUCAAAGCUUCCCCCGGCAGCAGCAGCAGCACUGAAGGCCAGUCUACUCACUUCCUGCCCGUAUCAGAUCCCAGCUGGGUUGGAGAUCUAAAUUGACAUAAGAUAAAUUAACUGGACAAAACCAUACAGAUGUAUUUAAUACAAGUGUUAUGCAGCAUGGGAGCCCUCAUAAAGAAAUGAAGAACCAAAGAAGCAGUUAGAAUCACUUACGUAAGUAUGAGUUGGACAAAGAAUAGUAAGUUUGAAGAAGCAACUAAAUCAUGUAGGGAGACUUGAAAGAGUUAUUUUAACAAGGUCUGUGCAGAAUUCUCUUGGUCUCAAUUUCUCAUCCUUGAGGAUAAAGUUGUUGCAUCUUUCACAAGGGAAUUUCACCUUUUGCUUUUAAGAAACAGCACAAAGGUCAGAGUAAUCUUUUUGCACCUGCUGUUUUCCAAGUGCCUUUAACUUAAAUAGUCAAUAUGCUAGAGGGUUAUAUUUUUAACUCCUUCAAAGUCUUUGUGUGGACAUAAGUUUUCAUUUCUCUUGGGAAGCUGUCUAUAAAUAAGAUUGACAGACAGUGUGGUAGGUAUUAUAACUUUAUAAGAAACUGUAUUUCAAGUUACUGCACCAUUUUGCAUUUUUAACAGCAAUCUAUGACAGUGGAAAUUGCUCCUCACCCUCAACCAACACUUGGUAUCGGGUGUGCCCCAGUUUUAAAAUGAUACUUUCAAUUUGUUUUUCCCUAAAGACAAAUAUUUUUGAGAGCUUUUUCAUGUAUUUAUCUGCCAUAUUUGUAUUUUCUUUGGUGAAAUGUCG
rnacentral:lncRNA from 13 species